rnacentral:rRNA from 1 species
GGGGUGUUAGGGCACGACACCGGAGAGGGAGCCUGAGAAACGGCUACCACAUCCAAGGAUGGCAGCAGGCGCGCAAAUUACCCAAUCCCGACACGGGGAGGUAGUGACAAUAAAUAACAAUACGGGGUUCUUUAGGAUUUCGUAAUUGGAAUGAGUACAAUUUAAAUCUCUUAACGAGGAACAAUUGGAGGGCAAGUCUGGUGCCAGCAGCCGCGGUAAUUCCAGCUCCAAUAGCGUAUAUUAAAGUUGCUGCAGUUAAAAAGCUCGUAGUUGAAUUUCGGGACCAAUAUGUCGGUCGUGCCUCGGUACGUACUGGCAUCGUUGGUUUCUCCCUUCUGACGAACCAUGAUGUCAUUUAUUUGGUGUCGUGGGGAAUCAGGACUGUUACUUUGAAAAAAUUAGAGUGUUUAAAGCAGGCUCACGCUUGAAUACAUUAGCAUGGAAUAAUGAAAUAGGACGUUCGAUCCUAUUUUGUUGGUUUCUAGGAUUGACGUAAUGAUUAAUAGGGAUAGUUGGGGGCAUUAGUAUUCAAUUGUCAGAGGUGAAAUUCUUGGAUUUAUUGAAGACUAACUACUGCGAAAGCAUUUGCCAAGGAUGUUUUCAUUAAUCAAGAACGAAAGUUAGGGGAUCGAAGACGAUCAGAUACCGUCGUAGUCUUAACCAUAAACUAUGCCGACUAGGGAUCGGAUGAUGUUAAUUUUUUAAUGACUCAUUCGGCGCCUUACGGGAAA